UAGUGGCGAACGGGUGAGUAACACGUGGGCAAUCUGCCCUGCACUCUGGGACAAGCCCUGGAAACGGGGUCUAAUACCGGAUAACACCCCCUCUCGCAUGGGAGGGGGUUGAAAGCUCCGGCGGUGCAGGAUGAGCCCGCGGCCUAUCAGCUUGUUGGUGAGGUAGAAGCUCACCAAGGCGACGACGGGUAGCCGGCCUGAGAGGGCGACCGGCCACACUGGGACUGAGACACGGCCCAGACUCCUACGGGAGGCAGCAGUGGGGAAUAUUGCACAAUGGGCGAAAGCCUGAUGCAGCGACGCCGCGUGAGGGAUGACGGCCUUCGGGUUGUAAACCUCUUUCAGCAGGGAAGAAGCGAAAGUGACGGUACCUGCAGAAGAAGCGCCGGCUAACUACGUGCCAGCAGCCGCGGUAAUACGUAGGGCGCAAGCGUUGUCCGGAAUUAUUGGGCGUAAAGAGCUCGUAGGCGGCUUGUCACGUCGGUUGUGAAAGCCCGGGGCUUAACCCCGGGUCUGCAGUCGAUACGGGCAGGCUAGAGUGUGGUAGGGGAGAUCGGAAUUCCU
rnacentral:rRNA from 1 species